GAUCAUUACCGAGUGAGGGCCCUCUGGGUCCAACCUCCCACCCGUGUCUAUCGUACCUUGUUGCUUCGGCGGGCCCGCCGUUUCGACGGCCGCCGGGGAGGCCUUGCGCCCCCGGGCCCGCGCCCGCCGAAGACCCCAACAUGAACGCUGUUCUGAAAGUAUGCAGUCUGAGUUGAUUAUCGUAAUCAGUUAAAACUUUCAACAACGGAUCUCUUGGUUCCGGCAUCAUGAAGAACGCAGCGAAAUGCGAUAAGUAAUGUGAAUUGCAGAAUUCAGUGAAUCAUCGAGUCUUUGAACGCACAUUGCGCCCCCUGGUAUUCCGGGGGGCAUGCCUGUCCGAGCGUCAUUGCUGCCCUCAAGCACGGCUUGUGUGUUGGGCCCCCGUCCCCCUCUCCCGGGGGACGGGCCCGAAAGGCAGCGGCGGCACCGCGUCCGGUCCUCGAGCGUAUGGGGCUUUGUCACCUGCUCUGUAGGCCCGGCCGGCGCCAGCCGACACCCAACUUUAUUUUUCUAAGGUUGACCUCGGAUCAGGUAGGGAUACCCGCUGAACUUAAGCAUAUCAAUAAGCGGAGGAAAAGAAACCAACAGGGAUUGCCUCAGUAACGGCGAGUGAAGCGGCAAGAGCUCAAAUUUGAAAGCUGGCCCCUUCGGGGUCCGCGUUGUAAUUUGCAGAGGAUGCUUCGGGUGCAGCCCCCGUCUAAGUGCCCUGGAACGGGCCGUCAUAGAGGGUGAGAAUCCCGUCUGGGACGGGGUGUCUGCGUCCGUGUGAAGCUCCUUGACGAGUCGAGUUGUUUGGGAAUGCAGCUCUAAAUGGGUGGUAAAUUUCAUCUAAAGCUAAAUACUGGCCGGAGACCGAUAGCGCACAAGUAGAGUGAUCGAAAGAUGAAAAGCACUUUGAAAGAGAGUUAAACAGCACGUGAAAUUGUUGAAAGGGAAGCGUUUGCGACCAGACUCGCCCGCGGGGUUCAGCCGGCAUUCGUGCCGGUGUACUUCCCCGUGGGCGGGCCAGCGUCGGUUUGGGCGGCCGGUCAAAGGCCCUCGGAAUGUAUCACCUCUCGGGGUGUCUUAUAGCCGAGGGUGCAAUGCGGCCUGCCUGGACCGAGGAACGCGC
rnacentral:rRNA from 1 species